rnacentral:rRNA from 1 species
UACCCAGUUUUCCCAUGGCGAACUGCUCAGUAACACGUGAUCAACUUACCCUAAGGUGGGAAAUAACCUCGGGAAACUGAGGAUAAUAGCCCAUAAUUGAGAAUGUCUGGAACGAUUUUUCAAUGAAAGUGCAAUCAGAAUGGUGGUUGUUACGCCUUAGGAUAGGAUUGCGCCCGAUUAUGGCUGUUGGUGAGGUAACGGCUCACCAAACCUAUUAUCGGUAAGGGCCGUGAGAGCGGGAGCCCUGAGAUGGGUACUGAGACAAUGACCCAGGUCUUACGAGACGCAGCAGGCGCGAAAACUUCACAAUGCACGAAAGUGUGAUGAGGUUACCCGGAGUGCUACAAAGUAGCUGUGGUGGGUAAGUAAGAUUCCCCACUAGGAAGGAGAGGGCAAGGCUGGUGCCAGCCGCCGCGGUAAAACCAGCUCUUCAAGUGGUCGGGACUAUUAUUGGGCUUAAAGUGUCCGUAGCCGGUAUAGCAAGUUCUUGGUUAAAUCGGAUAGCUUAACUAUCUGCCAGCCAGGAAUACUACCAUACUAGGGGGCGGGAGAGGUUUGAGGUACUCCAGGGGUAGCGGUGAAAUGCGAUAAUCCUUGGGGGACCACCAGCGGCGAAGGCGUCAGACUGGAACGCGCCCGACGGUGAGGGACGAAAGCCAGGGGAGCGAACCGGAUUAGAUACCCGGGUAGUCCUGGCCGUAAACGAUGCGUGCUAGGUGUUGGUAUGGCUAUGAGCCGUAUCAGUGCCGUAGGGAAACCGAUAAGCGCGCCGCCUGGGGAGUACGGUCGCAAGAUUGAAACUUAA